CCUACGGGAGGCUGCAGUCGAGAAUCUUCCGCAAUGGACGAAAGUCUGACGGAGCGACGCCGCGUGAAGGAUGAAGUAUUUCGGUAUGUAAACUUCUUUUGUCUGGGAAAAAAUUUUUGAUGGUACCAGAAGAAUAAGGGGUUGCUAAACUCGUGCCAGCAGCAGCGGUAAUACGAGUGCCCCGAGCGUUAUCCGGAAUUAUUGGGCGUAAAGGUUGCGUAGGCGGUUUUAUUAGUCUCUUGUUAAAUUCUUCGGCUUAACCGAAGACGUGCAAGGGAAACGGUAAGACUAGAGGAUGUGAGGGGUUUGCGGAACUCAUGGUGUAGCGGUGAAAUGCGUUGAUAUCAUGGGGAACACCAAAAGCGAAGGCAGCAAACUGGAACAUUCCUGACGCUGAGGCAAGAAAGCGUGGGUAGCGAAUGGGAUUAGAUACCCUAGUAGUC
rnacentral:rRNA from 1 species